UAUGAUUAAAGCUUUUAACACAGGUUGAAUAUCCUGGAUUAUCUGGCUGGAGCCUAAAUGCAGUCCCAUAAUUCACAAGACGGUGGCAGUGGGAGACCUGAGGUACAGGAGCAGACAGCACUGUUUCCAUGAGGGCAGAUGCAAGAAUAGAGAUUGGAGUGAUGUUCCCACAAGCCACACACUGGUGGAAGCUAUCAGAAGCCACAAGAGAUGCAGAAAUAAGAUCAAAGAAGUGAAACAUCUGGCUCAGGAACAAGUGGGAAGGAAGUAUUACAGUAGAGUCCUGGGCAAUCCAGGGAAGGCUUCCCUGAAGAAGAGACACCCGGGCUGGGUCGGAGGCAUGACUAAACAGGGCACUAUGGAGAGGAGCAGCUCAAGCAGAGACGUGGCAUGGGCAUAGGUCCUGUGGCUGGAAGCAGACAGGAGAACUCAGGAGGCAGGGGAGGUACGCUAGUGCCACGCUCUGCUGAGGUAGUAGUUUCAACUCACUCAUUCCCUUAGUUGGUCUAGUUUGUUUUAUUUAGCAGUGAUAAACCAGGACAUUCACUGAGACAGUGAUGGCCAGAGAGUCUCAUGGUUUCCUAAAGCCCUUAGCCCACUGUCAGGCAUGUCUGAACACAUCCUUAGAGAAUUUCAGUUAUGCUGCAACUCAUGGUUCAAGUCUAGCCUCACCUUGGC